GGGCCCGCACAAGCGGUGGAGCAUGUGGAUUAAUUCGAAGCAACGCGAAGAACCUUACCUAGCCUUGACAUCCUUGGAACUCUCCCGAAACGGAGAGGUGCCCUUCGGGAAUCAAGUGACAGGUGCUGCAUGGCUGUCGUCAGCUCGUGUCGUGAGAUGUUGGGUUAAGUCCCGCAACGAGCGCAACCCUUGUCUUUAGUUGCCAGCAUUUAGUUGGGCACUCUAGAGAGACUGCCGGUGUCAAGCCGGAGGAAGGUGGGGACGACGUCAAGUCAUCAUGGCCCUUACGGCGUAGGGCUUCACACGUGCUACAAUGGACGGUACAAAGGGUCGCGAAGCCGCGAGUGGAG
rnacentral:rRNA from 1 species